UAAUACGGAGGAUCCAAGCGUUAUCCGGAUUUAUUGGGUUUAAAGGGUGCGUAGGCGGCGUUGUAAGUCAGUGGUGAAAGUUUGCAGCUUAACUGUAAAAUUGCCAUUGAUACUGCAGUGCUUGAGUACAGAUGAGGUGGGCGGAAUGUGUCAUGUAGCGGUGAAAUGCAUAGAUAUGACACAGAACACCGAUUGCGAAGGCAGCUCACUAAACUGUAACUGACGCUGAGGCACGAAAGCGUGGGGAUCAAACAGG
rnacentral:rRNA from 1 species